UACGUAGGGUCCGAGCGUUGUCCGGAAUUAUUGGGCGUAAAGGGCUCGUAGGCGGUUCGUCGCGUCGGGAGUGAAAACCCGGGGCUCAACUCCGGGCCUGCAGCCGAUACGGGCAGACUAGAGUUCGGCAGGGGAGACUGGAAUUCCUGGUGUAGCGGUGAAAUGCGCAGAUAUCAGGAGGAACACCGGUGGCGAAGGCGGGUCUCUGGGCCGAUACUGACGCUGAGGAGCGAAAGCGUGGGGAGCGAACAGG
rnacentral:rRNA from 1 species